UACAGAGGUCUCAAGCGUUGUUCGGAUUCAUUGGGCGUAAAGGGUGCGUAGGUGGCGCUGUAAGUCGGGUGUGAAAUUUCGGAGCUUAACUCCGAAACUGCAUUCGAUACUGCGGUGCUUGAGGACUGGAGAGGAGACUGGAAUUCAUGGUGUAGCAGUGAAAUGCGUAGAGAUCAUGAGGAAGACCAGUGGCGAAGGCGGGUCGCUGGACAGAACCUGACACUGAGGCACGAAGGCCAGGGGAGCAAACGGG
rnacentral:rRNA from 1 species